CUCACCAUCAGCUCCUGCCUCAUCUGCUUUGGCUUCACACUGCAGAGCUUCUGUGACAGCUCCCGGGACCGCAACCUCACCAACUGCUCCUCCGUCAUGCUGCCCAGCAACGACGACAGGGCUCCAGCCUGGUUUGAGGACUUUGCCAAUGGACUGCUGUCGGCUCAGAAGCUCACGGCCGCCCUGAUUGUCCUGCACACUGCCCCUGUGGAGAAAGAGCCCCUUGACCAACCUCUGGUGGGCCGUGACAGUGCCUGUGGUGCUGCUGGGUCAGGUGGUCCAGACGGCUGUGGACCUGCAGCUGUGGACACACAGGGACAGCCACGUCCACUUUGGCCUGGAGGACGUGCCCCUGCUGACAUGGCUCCUGGGCUGCCUGUCCCUGGUCCUUGUGGUGGUGACCAAUGAGAUCGUGAAGCUACAUGAGAUUCGGGUCCGAGUCCGCUACCAGAAGCGACAGAAGCUGCAGUUUGAAACUAAGCUGGGCAUGAACUCUCCCUUCUGAGCCACUGGCUGUGGUGGCUGUAGUUGCCCCCGUCCCUGGGGCUAAAGCCAGACCCAUUUCUGAACAGGGGAGUUUGUAUCAUGAAUGUUUCCAGGUUUGCUCCUGCACCCGUGGCACUGGAAACCCAGCUCCCCGUGUCAGACCCCGCUGUCUUCCUGAGCCCUGGGGCUCACUGUGGAGGAGCUGACGGCCUGGGCCCUUGGCCAGUCCUGGCUCUUCCCUGGGCCUCACCAGGGACACUCUUGAAUGUAUGGCCUCAGGCGCUCCCUAGAGGGGCCCUAAACCCCCUCACCUGUGAGCUACCCCCUUUAGGGAUCCCUUGCCCCCUUGGAGAUCCCUUGCCCCCCAGUGCCUCUGCUCGUGGGUCCCUGGACACGGCCUUGAAGCCAACCUUCUUUGGAGGAGCAACA
rnacentral:lncRNA from 10 species